UACGUAGGGGGCAAGCGUUGUCCGGAUUUAUUGGGCGUAAAGAGCUCGUAGGCGGUUCGGCAAGUCAGCUGUGAAAUCUCCACGCUCAACGUGGAGGGGUCAGCUGAUACUGCUGUGACUUGAGUCCGGUAGGGGAGUGUGGAAUUCCCGGUGUAGCGGUGAAAUGCGCAGAUAUCGGGAGGAACACCUGUGGCGAAAGCGGCGCACUGGACCACAACUGACGCUGAGGCGCGAAAGCUAGGGGAGCAAACAGG
rnacentral:rRNA from 1 species